CCUACGGGCGGCAGCAGUGGGGAAUAUUGCACAAUGGGGGAAACCCUGAUGCAGCGACGCCGCGUGAGUGAAGAAGUAAUUCGUUAUGUAAAGCUCUAUCAGCAGGGAAGAAAAUGACGGUACCUGAGUAAGAAGCCCCGGCUAACUACGUGCCAGCAGCCGCGGUAAUACGUAGGGGGCAAGCGUUAUCCGGAUUUACUGGGUGGAAAGGGAGCGUAGACGGCAGUGCAAGUCUGGAGUGAAAGGCGGGGGCUCAACCCCCGGACUGCUCUGGAAACUGUACGGCUGGAGUGCAGGAGAGGUAAGUGGAAUGCCUGGUGUAGCGGUGAAAUGCGUAGAUAUUAGGAAGAACACCAGUGGCGAAGGCAGCUUACUGGACUGUAACUGACGUUGAGGCUCGAAAGCGUGGGGAGCAAACAGGAUUAGAUACCCUUGUAGUC
rnacentral:rRNA from 1 species